GACGAACGCUGGCGGCGUGCUUAACACAUGCAAGUCGAACGGAAAGGCCCUGCUUUUGUGGGGUGCUCGAGUGGCGAACGGGUGAGUAACACGUGAGUAACCUGCCCUUGACUUUGGGAUAACUUCAGGAAACUGGGGCUAAUACCGGAUAGGAGCUCCUGCUGCAUGGUGGGGGCUGGAAAGUUUCGGCGGUUGGGGAUGGACUCGCGGCUUAUCAGCUUGUUGGUGGGGUAGUGGCUUACCAAGGCUUUGACGGGUAGCCGGCCUGAGAGGGUGACCGGCCCCAUUGGGACUGAGAUACGGCCCAGACUCCUACGGGAGGCAGCGGUGGGGAAUAUUGCACCGUAGGCGGAAGCCUGAUGCAGCAACGCCGCGUGCGGGAUGACGGCCUUCGGGUUGUAAACCGCUUUCGCCUGUGACGAAGCGUGAGUGACGGUAAUGGGUAAAGAAGCACCGGCUAACUACGUG
rnacentral:rRNA from 1 species